rnacentral:rRNA from 1 species
AUUGAACGCUGGCGGCAGGCCUAACACAUGCAAGUCGAGCGAGCGGCGGACGGGUGAGUAAUGUCUGGGAAACUGCCUGAUGGAGGGGGAUAAAUACUGGAAACGGUAGCUAAUACCGCAUAGCAUCAGAGGGGCCGAGAUGGGGUUAGCUAGUAGGUGGGGUAACGGCUCACCUAGGCGACGAUCCCGGGCGGGUCGGAGAGGAUGGCCAGCCACACGGGAACUGAGAAACGGUCCAGGCCCCUGAGGGAGACGGCAGGGGGGAGUAGUGCACAAUGGGCGCAGGCCUAAUGCAUCCAGGACAGGUGUGUCGUGAGGGCCUUCGGCUUUCGGGGCGCUUGCCGCGUGGGGGCGUUACCCGCAGAAGAAGCACCGGCUAACUCCGUGCCAGCAGCCGCGGUAAUUC